UUUGGGUGGGUGAGGGGAGGGGGCGGGGGUGUUUCUCAGCAUCACUGAGAAGGUCUCAUCCCCACCGGGAAAGCACUGAGAUGCCACUGGGUACCGCCUGGUUGAGGUUAUUCACGGAAACCAUUUAUUCCAAUGCUAUAGCAUCCUACCCCAGAGGGGGAAAAGAGGUCUGGGAAGGAUAAAUAGAUUUCUCCCAAUGGCCUCAGAUGUCAAAAUCCAGAAUUUGCAUUGUAUUUGGAAUCACAAACAUAGAAUUCUUACCGUGUUGGUUAAAGUAAAAUUCAUUUGCAGUUUUGAUUUCCAUCGAUGGGCUGUACUUUUCCCCCAUGAUCGUAUGUAGUUUUAAUAAAAAUCACUUAGAGCAAGUGGGUGCCAACCGAUGUUGCAGAAUCGUUUGUCUUAGGCUCUCUGCCAAGAUGCCAAUAAGUCAUUUUAAAAUGUAUGUCAGAGAUGUAAACAAACAUUUUGGAUUUCUUUUUUAAAUCAGUACUUACUUGGAAUGUUUUCAUUUAUCUAAAUAACUAUUGCUAUUAUGAAUUAUGGAAAAAAAGAUUAAUAUCAUGUGUGGCAUAUGGUGACUUCUUAACACACAUCACGCAGUCUGCAAACCCAGAAAAUGUGUAUAUCUGUCUUUAGAGAUUAGUGUUUAUAUCACUUGCAGUGGUUUGUGAAUAAUGAAAACUGGU
rnacentral:lncRNA from 1 species